UGCAUCAUGUGUGCCUCACCUCCAUCUGCAGUUGGAGAGAGAGAUGGACUGGCGCCUAUGACGCACUGGUCGACGCCGCGGCCGCUGCCGUCCGCGAGCCCGGGUGCAUGGUGGCACUCACGGACCUCAACCGCUGCCUCCACGCCUUCAGCGAGUCCUACGACCGAGCCGAGGGACUCGUCCAGGUGGCCGCCGGCGGCCUCAGCCCCGCUGCCUCCCGCCACGACGAGCUGUGCCAUGCCGUGCGCGUGGUCGACAAGGAUCUCUGGGCCGCCGCCGCCGGCCGGGAGGAGAAAGAGAUGGAAGACGAGAAGAAUCACCCUCCGACUACGCCGCUGGCGGCCGAGGACAAAUAGCCCAAUCGAUCUACCUCGACUCCUAUUGAGGUGAUGUUCAUCGUUCUUGUUUUUUCCAUGUGAUGUUCAUCAUUCCUCUUAUUUUCUUGGUUGACAUGCUAAUCGUGUUAGUCAUCUAGAAGAUGAAUGAAACUGUGACGGGAAAGGAGAGAUGGACUGGGAUAUUUUGCCUCGCCGUGCCGCAUGGUGGCUAAGAUGCGGUAGCCCCAUGCUAUGUUCCCAUGGGCCUCCUCUGCUCGAUGGUUGCCACUGGUUGAGUUUGGUAUGGUUUCCUAUUGUCGCUUGCGUCGAGCCUUGGGUGUGUCUCUCCUUCUCAUUGAGCCUACUUCUCCUGUUGCUGGCGCUUCUUCUUCUCGUCUGUCCUGCUCUUACCCAACGUGCUUCUGCUUGUUGCCUCGGGUAAAUAGGCCGUUAUGUUGCUUCUGUGACCGGCGAGUGUUCAUUGCAUGCCUGUGUGUCGUUGUGCUCUGACCGUUUUUGUGUGUGUAUUUCGCAAGUUGUACGAUCUCUUCAGUCGCUACGUCGUUCGACUCAUCAAGGUUUUCUUCUUUCCUUUCUACUACAUGUGUGCGUAUUUUACUUUCAGUAUCUUCUGUGUCAUGUUGUCUGCCUUGGUGAUCUUUUAAAUAUCUGUAUGUCGUGCUGAUCGUUUAAAUGUUCUAGAUAUGGUCGGGCAUUGUGUGUUGUUAUUUCUCGUGCUGCUUAUAUUUCGUGUAUGUGUGUGAGCAGGAUUUGUCCACUUGUUUCGAUUGUUAUACCUGUUUUGGAGGUCGUGGUAACGCAAUGCCCCCCGCGCUCACUCUUUCUGUUGUACACAGUAGCAUAUUUGUCCAAUUCUCAGACUGAUUUUUUGAAAGAAACCGCAGUUCAUUAGAAUGCCAAUUAUGGAUAUGGAUCCAUCUUGCUGCGCUGGAUGAAGGACUGGAUGUAAUAAGAAUUGCAUGUGACAAUUGCUCAUGAAUAGUAUUUGUUGUACAAACAUCCAGUUAAUUCUUGAGAUACAAUAGAGACACUAUAAUAGUACUACUUUAGUCAAAUACAUUAUCCACUGAUAGUUGUAGUGAGAUGUCGCUCUAGCUAUUAAUUUGCGGAAUCUUGCACGACAAACUAUAGGCAUGCGAUCUUUAUGGUGUUCCAGUAAAUAAAGGAAACUGGAACAUGUGCCUUCAAAUUUUCUAUUUAUAUACAAAAACCAUGCAUUGGUACAUAUGAACCAUAUGAAUAGGACUGAAGAAGAUCCAUUUUUUGUCAUGUUUGUGAGUUUUCCGUUAUUUCCGCUCAGUGUGAAUAGGACUGAAGAAGAUGGACAUAGCCCUUUAGGUAAUUUCACUUUUUUUGAACAGCAAACCGUAGAACAAUAGUUCUAUUGUAUAUUUUCAUUAAAAAAACAAUAUGUUACAAAGGGAAAGGAGAACAUAGAAAAAAAAGAAAAAAGAUCUAAGCUAAUGGGGCAGAGCCCUUAUCCAAUUUCAGUUUUGGGCAACAUGACAAUCAUUUAAAAAUUGAUCUGACAGUCUGCUUGAACGAGGUGGAAUGCUUGUCUUUGAUCUUGUGUUGAAGUAGUUGAAGAUCCUUUUUUAAUUCAAGCUUCCAAUUUGAGACUGUUGGCUGGAUGUUUCUGAAGACCUUGCCAUCUCACUUUACCUUGCCAUCUCACUUUGUUUAAAUAGGACAGGUUAUUUACGAAGGUAUACCAUUUCUAUUGACUGGAUAAUUUACAUGUUGGCAAGGACUUAUUGGUUUAGCCUGGUCAUAAUUGCUCAGCCAAUUUCCCAACCCAAAUCCAGAACCGCUUCAUCUUUAGAUCUUUACAUGAUUGAUGAAAUGCCUUAGAGACUAAGAUCUGCACUUUGUUUUUCUCUGUUCUCCUGCUCACGGAUUAACCGAUGGUUGUAAGACCCAGAGAAGCAUUAGGAACUGGUCUGCAGUGUCUUCCAGUGUACGCGUACACACAAUUCACUUUCCUUUUCUUUUUGCCCUUUGUAUAGAUGAUGUGGUUGAGUUACGAAGCCUCUUCUUGCAGCGUUGUGUGCAAGGCCAAAGGGAAGUUUUUAAUGCAUUUGAGCUGCUCUAUCUGACUGUUCAUCUCCUGAACCUAUUUUAGUUGAUAUAUAAGUGUUCUCUAUUUCAGAAAGCCACAACACGAGAUUGUGCCCCCUCUUGCUCUAGGUGCAUGUUGCUGCCCUCCUUUCCCCUCUGAUUUGACUUGCUUUACCUUGUGUGAAGUUUUAUACUUUCAACUUUACAAAGCUAUAUCAAGUUUGCUUUCAACUGUUACUUGGCUAGACAUGUAACAUGAUGCAUUUCUCUUUCAGUUUAUUGAAUAAAUUUUGAAGGAGCGAAUGCUCUAUCUGGUACUGUCCUAUGACUCAUUUAACAGUGUGUCAAUUUGCUCACAAACCUCCUCAUGUACAGCAUACAAUGAGUAUUAUGUCACAUAUCACACAACAUCUUGAUAUUUCAGCUAAUAAUAUGCUGUAAUUUUUAGGCGUAUCACUGUUUGGAUCUUUUGGGUUCCUUCUGUGUGUUGGGAGAUAAUGCUCUUAAUAAACUUUAGCUUUCUGCAAUGCUAGGCCAGAAAACUUUAGUACUGAAAAUCUAGACUGUUAUUUCCGCUCUGUAACAACUUCCAUGCUUGUGGCACCAUGAUACCACUACAACAUUUCCCUAGAAAUUUUUAUUAGUUGCACGUAAACUGAAUUGAAUUACUAGUAAAGUCGCUAACAACAAUUGUGGCAUUACCAGGAUAUGUCAUGUAUGUUCUCUGAGUCGUAGUAGGUUGCAAAAAGUACAAUAAGAGAUAGAAUGUAUGCACUAUGGCUAGCAGUAACAUUUUAUUGACUUGUGCAGUAUUCGAUACUAUCUAUUUCUGCAGGCUAUUCCUCAUGUUGCAACCUUUUCCCGUAGAAUUGAAAGGAAGAUGGAAGAAAUUGCAGGAGCUUGCUAUUAUUUGAGCAAGAAUGGUGUUCCCAGCGUGACAUUGAAAACCAAUCAAGAUUAUAAAGGGGCUGUGAAGGGCAAAAUGCUAUGGAUCCAGAGUGAGAGGGUAGAGUUACCCACAAUGUAUCAAGGAUAAACCGGGACAUGGAUUCCUAAGUUCCAACUUACAUAGCAAAAUUAUAU